rnacentral:lncRNA from 1 species
AUUAUAUUGAAUUUAUUUGCAUUUUUAAUUUGUUUAACUUAUUUGAACGCCAGUAUCUUCAUGUCGCCAAGACACAGACCCGGCUGGGCUGUUAACAAAAUGUUUUAAGUUGUUUUCCUUUUUGGACCAAGUACUGCUCCACAGGGUCGAUGCCAAGGGGCGAUGGCGACAAUCUGGGCUCGAAACUAGCCAAUGUUGAAUAGGAAGGGUGCUUGGAGGCGCCGUUUUACAACUUUGCAACGGGCGCAAAUAUUCCUUGUCACGGCCUUGCUGCUUCACCAAUUAAAGAAG